rnacentral:rRNA from 1 species
GACGAACGCUGGCGGCGUGCCUAAUACAUGCAAGUUGAGCGAUGAAGAUUGGUGCUUGCACCAAUUUGAAGAGCAGCGAACGGGUGAGUAACGCGUGGGGAAUCUGCCUUUGAGCGGGGGACAACAUUUGGAAACGAAUGCUAAUACCGCAUAACAACUUUAAACAUAAGUUUUAAGUUUGAAAGAUGCAAUUGCAUCACUCAAAGAUGAUCCCGCGUUGUAUUAGCUAGUUGGUGAGGUAAAGGCUCACCAAGGCGAUGAUACAUAGCCGACCUGAGAGGGUGAUCGGCCACAUUGGGAAUGAUACACCGCCCAAACUCCUCAGGGAGGCAGCAGUAGGGAAUGUUAGGAAAUGGACGAAAGUCUGAACGAGCAAAGGCGCGUGAGUGAAGAAGGUUUUCGGAUCGUAAAACUCUGUUGGUAGAGAAGAACGUUGGUGAGAGUGGAAAGCUCAUCAAGUGACGGUAACUACACAGAAAGGGACGGCUAACUACGUG